GGGGGUACGGUUUCCGGAAUAUUGCGGCGUAAGCGCGCGCAGGCGGUCCUUUAAGUCUGAUGUGAAAGCCCACGGCUCAACCGUGGAGGGUCAUUGGAAACUGGGGGACUUGAGUGCAGAAGAGGAAAGUGGAAUUCCAAGUGUAGCGGUGAAAUGCGUAGAGAUUUGGAGGAACACCAGUGGCGAAGGCGACUUUCUGGUCUGUAACUGACGCUGAGGCGCGAAAGCGUGGGGAGCAAACAGGAUUAGAUACCCUGGUAGUCCACGCCGUAAACGAUGAGUGCUAAGUGUUAGGGGGUUUCCGCCCCUUAGUGCUGCAGCUAACGCAUUAAGCACUCCGCCUGGGGAGUACGGUCGCAAGACUGAAACUCAAAGGAAUUGACGGGGGCCCGCACAAGCGGUGGAGCAUGUGGUUUAAUUCGAAGCAACGCGAAGAACCUUACCAGGUCUUGACAUCCCGUUGACCACUGUAAAAAUAUACUUUCCCCUUCGGGGGCAACGGUGACGGGUGGUGCAUGGUUGUCGUCAGCUCGUGUCGUGAUAUGUUGGGUUAAGUCCCGCAACGAGCGCAACCCUUGAUCUUAGUUGCCAUCAUUUAUUUGGGCACUCUAGGGUGACUGCCGGUGACAAACCAGAAGAAGGUGGAGAUGACGUCAAAUCAUCAUGCCCCUUAUGACCUGGGCUACACACGUGCUACAGUGGACGAUACAAACGGUUGCCAACUCGCGAGAGGGAGCUAAUCCGAUAAAGUCGUUCUCAGUUCAGAUUGUACGCUGCAACUCGCCUACAUGAAUCCAGAAUCGCUAGUAAUCGCAGAUCAGCAUGCCGCGGGUGAAUACGUUCCCGGGCCUUGUACACACCGCCCGUCACACCACGAGAGUUUGUAACACCCAGAAGUCGGGGAGGUAACCUUUUGGAGCCAGCCGCCGAAGGUGGGAUAGAUGAUUGGGGGUGACUCUACAGGGGGGGGCCCCAAAAAAAGCCGGAGUUUAUCCAAGGGA
rnacentral:rRNA from 2 species